UUCAUGAACAGGUCAUUUCAACAUACUGUAAUAUGAUUGGUCGAGACAACACAAGGUCUUUGUUAUUGUGAAUAAGUUAUGUUGCCUAGCGCAGUAGAGAACUUCAUGUGAAAUAUUUGAUCGAAAUAUGGUCGAAUUAAUGCAAGAAGACACAAAUUUGGUUAGUCAAAGUAAAAUAUAUUUAAUAUCCUUUAUUCUUGCGAUCGUAUUUUGAAAUUUGAUUGCAUAUUUUAGUCAAGACGAACACAGAAUAUAUCGAAAGACAACACGGAGUCUGCAGAAAUGACGGAUUCUAACAAGGUAAUAUAUAUUUAUAUUGAUAUUUAGCAAACUAUAUAGACAGUACAAUCUUACAUUUUAUAUAUAUCAACAAAUACGAAGGUUUA